AGAGUUUGAUCAUGGCUCAGGAUGAACGCUAGCGGCAGGCCUAAUACAUGCAAGUCGAACGGGGCAGUUCAGCAAUGAACUGUUCAGUGGCGCACGGGUGCGUAACGCGUAUGCAACCUACCUUAAACUGGGGGAUAGCCCGGGGAAACCCGGAUUAAUACCGCAUAAGAUCACACGAGGGCAUCUGAGAGUGAUUAAAGAUUUAUUGGUUUAAGAUGGGCAUGCGUGCCAUUAGCUAGUUGGUAGGGUAACGGCCUACCAAGGCUACGAUGGCUAGGGGUUCUGAGAGGAUGAUCCCCCACACUGGUACUGAGAUACGGACCAGACUCCUACGGGAGGCAGCAGUAGGGAAUAUUGGGCAAUGGACGGAAGUCUGACCCAGCCAUGCCGCGUGCAGGAUGAAGGCCUUCUGGGUUGUAAACUGCUUUUAUCUAGGAAGAAAACACCCCUGCGGGGGGGACUGACGGUACUAGAUGAAUAAGCACCGGCUAACUCCGUGCCAGCAGCCGCGGUAAUACGGAGGGUGCAAGCGUUGUCCGGAUUUAUUGGGUUUAAAGGGUGCGUAGGCGGCCCGUUAAGUCAGUGGUGAAAGCCUCCAGCUCAACUGGAGAACUGCCAUUGAUACUGACGGGCUUGAGUACAGACGAGGUUGGCGGAAUUGAUUGUGUAGCGGUGAAAUGCAUAGAUACAAUCAAGAACUCCGAUUGCGUAGGCAGCUAACUAGGCUGUAACUGACGCUGAGGCACGAAAGCGUGGGGAGCGAACAGGAUUAGAUACCCUGGUAGUCCACGCCGUAAACGAUGAUUACUCGAUGUUGGCGAUAAACUGUCAGCGUCUUAGCGAAAGCGUUAAGUAAUCCACCUGGGGAGUACGCCCGCAAGGGUGAAACUCAAAGGAAUUGACGG
rnacentral:rRNA from 1 species